GGGGCGCCUUGCGCGCACCGGCGGACGGCUCAGUAACACGUCGGUAACCUACCCUCGGGAGGGGGAUAACCCCGGGAAACUGGGGCUAAUCCCCCAUAGGCCUGAGGUACUGGAAGGUCCUCAGGCCGAAAGGGGCUUUGCCCGCCCGAGGAUGGGCCGGCGGCCGAUUAGGUAGUUGGUGGGGUAACGGCCCACCAAGCCGAAGAUCGGUACGGGCCAUGAGAGUGGGAGCCCGGAGAUGGACACUGAGACACGGGUCCAGGCCCUACGGGGCGCAGCAGGCGCGAAACCUCCGCAAUGCUCGAAAGAGCGACGGGGGGACCCCCAGUGCCGUGGCAUCGCCACGGCUUUUCCGGAGUGUAAAGAGCUCCGGGAAUAAGGGCUGGGCAAGGCCGGUGGCAGCCGCCGCGGUAAUACCGGCGGCCCGAGUGGUGGCCGCUAUUAUUGGGCCUAAAG
rnacentral:rRNA from 1 species